rnacentral:rRNA from 1 species
CAUGGCGGCACUAGCGCGGUGGUCCCACCUGACCCCAUGCCGAACUCAGAAGUGAAACGCCGUAGCGCCGAUGGUAGUGUGGGGUCUCCCCAUGUGAGAGUAGGGAACUGCCAGGC